UGUCGGGGCAGGAUACUGCUGUGAGAUGGGCUCAGUGAGGGGAAAGCCUUAGAGGGUCAAGGGUCAACCCAAGUGUGAUCUGGGGAGCCCAGACGGGGCCUGAAGCUAUUUCCACCUUCAGUUCCAGAGUCCUUGGUUUUGUGCAAGAGCAAAUGGCACAGCAUCCUCACCAGGACCAAGAACAAAAGGCAAGCAUGACAUCCGUGCAACAGAGAAGCACAUCAGAAGAAGAAGAAGAAGAAGAAGAAGAAGAAGAAGAAGAAGAAGAAGAAGAAGAAGAAGAAGAAGAA